rnacentral:lncRNA from 1 species
CAUUUCUCGUGAUGCCAAUGGGGCGGCGGAUGUCUUGGCAGGUUGAGGUAGGCGCGCUCAGGCUCAUGACCAGCAGUGGACCUCUCCAUCGAAUAUAGUUUAGCUAGAGAGUCUUCUGUUGGACUCAGUUGCUAUUCCUUAGUUUCUUUCUUUUUGUCUUUUCAUUCCUACCUUACCAAAAAAAGAGUAUACGAUUACUGUACUGUAAUUAUAUGGUCUAUAUCCAGUAGUUGUAUA